rnacentral:tRNA from 1 species
GCUGGAUUAGCUCAGCCGGUAGAGCACUUGAUUCGUAAUCAUGAGGUCGUCGGUUCAAGUCCGACAUCCAGCUCCA